CUUACCCAUAAUUCCUAGCAGGAAACCACAUGUCCAUUCAAUGUGUUGCCUCGGAUGAGUGGCCACAGAAUAUGGUGACCAUAACACAAGGGAGCAUGUGAGAACUAUUCACAUCAAUUAAAAGGUGGAAAGCAGGGGAGCUGUGUACGUGACAACAUUCAUGGAUUAAAAGUGAAGCGUGACUAUUGUUGGAGCUGCUGAGUGGCACGUGUCAAGUUGAUAAUGUGACGUUAUGUUUCCACAGAUUUUCACAGAAGGCUAGGCAAGGCCGUAGUUUGACACCUCAUUUGAAAAAUUGUACGACCAACAGUGCAGCACAUCAUCAGAACUACUUUGGAGUGCGAACUGGAUCCUUUGCUCAAAUCUUUGGAAGCUGGAACCAACAACAUUCUGACACUGAGGAACUCUUGCUUGUAUUGAACUUCUUAACAAAGAGAUUUUAUCCAAAAGAAUCAACUGGCAAAACACCAAAUAGAAUAAAUUGCAUAAAUCUGCCAUUUUAAUGAGUAAACAAAUGUAUAUACUGGCAGAAGUGUACAUGAUUAUACGCACAUGUGCAUGUAAAUGUAUAACAGAAAAGUUUGCCCUUUUAUCAACAGCAGUUGGAACAGGAAUCCUUCACUCAAGCACAAGCACAAGUGAAAAUUUAAAGUUGGUAUUAGGUGUGUGUGUGUAGUGUGAAUGUGGCAGUACAUAUGCACUGUCUUACUGCCUGCCCCACAAAAACUAAUAAAAUCAGCAGGAAGUUCACAGUAGUUGUGGGAGGCUCCUGAAGGAGCAAUGUAGGAUUCGCACAUCAUCUAGAGGUGUUAGAACAUUAACUUAGCUGAAGACUUCAACGUGAAAUUUGUAAUGUGCAAUCGUUUUGUUUCACAAUUACUUCAUUGUUUAAGCAUUAAGCUUUCAAAUCUGUUCAAAAUUUACUCUUUGUACAAGUUUUAAUGAAGAGAUCUCGACAAUUUUUGGUUCAUACUAUUAUGUGUGAAUGUGCCCUGUGUUUCUAGAUUCCAUUCAGACUGCCCCUGUUUUGGACUCUAAUUUUGUACUGAAUUCAACUUCUUUGGCUUAAUAAUUUACCUCCUUGCAACA